UUCAAGAAUAUGCUGGUUUGCUAUUAUUGGUGGUUGAUUUCGACUCAUAGUUGAAGGAAGCAAUUAUUCAGGUUUUGAUUUUCUGGUUGAUAAAGAAAGUGUGUGCUUUUAUGGGUGCAUCAAAACAUAUCUAACAGAGGUUGGGAUGAGUAUUGAAGAUAAAAUGGUGGAAGUUUGGAGAAUGGUUCCUAUUUAUGGCUGUAUUAAAUCAGAUCUUUAUGUAAUUCUUUUACUAUAUUUCUCUUUUAGCUUUUUGAGGGAAAAACGAACAUAGAUAAACUAGAUGCAUGUACUAUGAAUGUUGUUAGUGACUUGUAAAUAUUUCAGUGUAUCUUCAUAUGACU